rnacentral:tRNA from 1 species
ACUUGGAUAGCUUAAAUUAUAAAGCUUAACUCUGAAGAAGUUAUUAUAGGUUUAUACCUUCUAAGUG